UCCCUUUUGGGUUCUUCUUUGUGUAAUAUUGGACAAUGGGGGGAACCCUGAUCCAGCGACGCCGCGUGAGUGAAGAAGUAUUUCGGUAUGUAAAGCUCUAUCAGCAGGGAAGAAAAUGACGGUACCUGACUAAGAAGCCCCGGCUAACUACGUGCCAGCAGCCGCGGUAAUACGUAGGGGGCAAGCGUUAUCCGGAUUUACUGGGUGUAAAGGGAGCGUAGACGGUGCAGCAAGUCUGAUGUGAAAGGUCGGGGCCCAACCCCGGGACUGCAUUGGAAACUGUUGAACUGGAGUACAGGAGAGGG
rnacentral:rRNA from 1 species